UAUCGGAUUGAUACUAAGCCAUGCGAGUCAUCGUAGUAAUACAAGGCAGACGGCUCAGUAACGCGUAGUCAACCUACCCUAUGGACGGGAAUAACCUCGGGAAACUGAGUAUAAUGCCCGAUAGAACACUAUUCCUGGAAUGGUUUGUGUUCCAAAUGAAUGUCGCCGUAGGAUGGGACUGCGGCCUAUCAGUUUGUUGGUGAGGUAAUGGCCCACCAAGACUAUUACAGGUACGGGCUCUGAGAGGAGUAGCCCGGAGAUGGGUACUGAGACACGGACCCAGGCCCUAUGGGGCGCAGCAGGCGAGAAAACUUUGCAAUGUGCGAAAGCACGACAAGGUUAAUCCGAGUGGUUUGUGCUAAACGAACCUUUUGACAGUCCUAGAAACACUGUUGAAUAAGGGGUGGGCAAGUUCUGGUGUCAGCCGCCGCGGUAAAACCAGCACCUCAAGUGGUCAGGAUGAUUAUUGGGCCUAAAGCAUCCGUAGCCGGCUCUGUAAGUUUUCGGUUAAAUCUGUACGCUCAACGUACAGGCUGCCGGGAAUACUGCAGAGCUAGGGAGUGGGAGAGGUAGACGGUACUCGGUAGGAAGGGGUAAAAUCCUUUGAUCUAUUGAUGACCACCUGUGGCGAAGGCGGUCUACCAGAACACGUCCGACGGUGAGGGAUGAAAGCUGGGGGAGCAAACCGGAUUAGAUACCCGGGUAGUCCCAGCUGUAAACUAUGCAAACUCAGUGAUGCAUUGGCUUGUGGCCAAUGCAGUGCUGCAGGGAAGCCGUUAAGUUUGCCGCCUGGGAAGUACGUACGCAAGUAUGAAACUUAAAGGAAUUGGCGGGGGAGCACCACAAGGGGUGAAGCCUGCGGUUCAAUUGGAGUC
rnacentral:rRNA from 1 species